AUAUCAGUUAUGUGGUAUUCCCAGUUAAUAUCUGGCAAGUUGAAGUCACCCAUAAGGACAAGGGCAACCAAUCCUGAGAUUUUCCCUAGUUGCCUAGAGAAUAGCUCAUCCAUGCCAUCGUCCUGAGCAGGCAGUUGAUAGUAGACACCCACAACAACAUCUGCUAUCUGUCCCCUUAAUUGUCACCCAGAAGCUUUCUACUGUGUCACCCCUAACAUCAGGGGCU